CCUACGGGUGGCAGCAGUGGGGAAUAUUGGACAAUGGGGGGAACCCUGAUCCAGCCAUGCCGCGUGUGUGAAGAAGGCCCUCGGGUUGUAAAGCACUUUCAGUGAGGAAGAACGCCUGGUGGUUAAUACCCAUCAGGAAAGACAUCACUCACAGAAGAAGCACCGGCUAACUCCGUGCCAGCAGCCGCGGUAAUACGGAGGGUGCGAGCGUUAAUCGGAAUUACUGGGCGUAAAGCGCGCGUAGGUGGCUUGAUAAGCCGGUUGUGAAAGCCCCGGGCUCAACCUGGGAACGGCAUCCGGAACUGUCAAGCUAGAGUGCAGGAGAGGAAGGUAGAAUUCCCGGUGUAGUGGUGAAAUGCGUAGAGAUCGGGAGGAAUACCAGUGGCGAAGGCGGCCUUCUGGACUGACACUGACACUGAGGUGCGAAAGCGUGGGUAGCAAACAGGAUUAGAUACCCGAGUAGUC
rnacentral:rRNA from 1 species